UUAGUUCAGCCUCAUUUUUUAGAGUUCUGGAGUAUCUUAUUGCACAAAAUAUGCUGAGGAGAAAUUCCUGUGAUGCUCAUGAGAAAAAUUGUAGAGCGCUUUUACACU